rnacentral:rRNA from 1 species
CCUACGGGAGGCAGCAGUGGGGAAUAUUGCACAAUGGGGGAAACCCUGAUGCAGCGACGCCGCGUGAGUGAAGAAGUCAUUCGUUAUGUAAAGCUCUAUCUGCAGGGAAGAAAAUGACGGUACCUGAGUAAGAAGCCCCGGCUAACUACGUGCCAGCAGCCGCGGGAAUACGGAGGGGGCCAGCGUUAUCCGGAUUUACUGGGUGUAAAGGGAGCGUAGACGGCAGUGCAAGUCUGUAGUGAAAGUCGGGGGCUCAACCCCCGGACUGCUCUGGAAACUGUACGGCUGGAGUACAGGAGAGGUAAGUGGAAUUCCUAGUGUAGCGGUGAAAUGCGUAGAUAUUAGGAGGAACACCGGUGGCGAAGGCGGCUUACUGGACUGUAACUGACGUUGAGGCUCGAAAGCGUGGGGAGCAAACAGGAUUAGAUACCCUAGUAGUC